UGCACCCUGGAACCUCACCUGGACACAUUCAAUCACUGAAAUGAAGGGAUCAAAGUUUGCUGCAAUGAAGCAAUAAGUUCACAGAAUCAAAGAUGGAGAAACAGAAGAGACCUAAGAAGUCAAAAAGUACCACUCUCCACUCUCCUCAUUUUGCAGCUGGGAAGCAGACACCCUGCUGUACAGAGGGAACAGAGCAGUGUCACGGCCCCACCAUUUUAAUAGGAACCAGCAGUGGGUAUCAUCAUCACCCCCACCUGUAACAGAGGCUGCGGGAAGAAGGGAACCCAUUGGAAGGAGCUGAUUGCACAUCAAAUGAAAUGGUUCAGGAACCAGAUGGCAGAGCCUUACAAAAAUUACCACUGACAAUAUAAAAGGGCUCCCUUCAAGCACUUUUAAUCUUCAAAGUCCUAAGGAACAAUAAAAAGCUUGAUUUCCUACAUCCUCUUGACCUUGAGAAUGAGCAGCAAACAGAGCUUAGUAAGACCUCUUUUGUACAGAUGAGAAUUUGGAGUCAAAGAAUCUCGUCUAACAACCCUUGAGCGGUGCCUGUCAGGUCGCAGGACCAGACGGAUUUUCCAGAGCAGAAUUCCCUGCUGUCAUUUUAUAUAGUGGAAAAAAACAUCUUGCAUCUGGAAAGAACAUCUCCUGACUCUCAUCAAAGCAAUGACCAACCAUCACUCCAGAAGACUGAUAAUGAAGCAUGCAGCCUACUUCCUGACAGUGACCUUAGGGACUCAGGGUACAAAAUGAGCCAUGUGUUUUUUUAUAUAGCCAGUGCAGGAAUUGAUUUUAAUUGACUAUGCUAAUUUGUUAUAAGGCUUUUAUUUUCCUUUUUUUCUGAUGAUAUCAAGGGGUUUAAGUGAGGUAGAGUGGUACUAAUUCAUCAGCCUCAUUCUCUCUUCCAGAGUCAUCAAAGUCCAGGAGGACCACAAAUAGAACUGUUAAAAUAUUUUAGAGCAUAUAGUUUCUUUUCCUUUUCCUCACCUUAGGAAAUAAAUCUAAUAUUGGUAUUACUGGGUUAAAAGGUAUACAUAGUUUUGUACUCUUUAGUAUAAUUCCAGGUUGUUCUUCAAAAUGAUUAAAUCAAUUCACAGUUUCACCAACAAUGUAUUAGCUUCCCUAUUUUUCCACAUCCCCUCCAAUAUUUGUCAUUUUGCCCUUUUAUUAUGUUAGUCCAUCUAAUAGAUGUGAGAUGAUAUCUCAGAGUUGUUUUGAUUUGACUUUCUCUAAUCAAUAACUAGAACAUUUCUUCAUAUAUUUACAUUUAGCUUCGAUUUGUUCAUCCAAAAAUUAUCAAUUCAUAUCUCUUGACCAUUUAUCAAAUGGAUGUCUAUCAAUUGGCGAGUGGCUUAGUGGGUUCUGGUAUAUGAUUAUAAUGGAAUGUUAUUGUGCCAUAAGAAAGGACACACAAGAGAAGCAUUUAAAAAAAAAACCUGUUAAGAUUUCUAUGAUGUGACACAAAGUGAAGUGAGCAGAACCAGGAGAACAUUGUACACAGUAACAACAGUGUAUGACGAUCAACUGUGAAGGACUUAACUAUUAUCAGAAAAUGUAAAUUCCAAUGGCAAAACAGAAGUCAGGAUGACGGAUUAGAGAUUACCUGGGCUCUGCCCAAGCUCUAAGUGCUCCACAGCACCUUCAGUUGCCUUAGUAGCUAUUGGAACAAAUUGUUCUCAUCUGCCCCUUCUCUGUGUGGAAGUCUUCACAUCCUUGGGGUAGACAUCUCCAAGUCACUGACAAGUUGGAGGCUUGUUAGUUACCCUCAACUGAAUCUAGCCUGCCUGCUGAGAUGAGUUUUUAGCAGGGUAUAACCCCCUGCGCACACACAAGGGCUUCUUGGAGCCACAGGUGAGAGUAAUUAUCAUUAUUCAACCAUUCAGGGCCCCCAAUGAGACUCUGAAUUGCAGAGAAAGUGGCAGUCUGCACUGAUAGAGGCAACUCCCUCUACCAAUGAUACUGCAAGUCAAUUCCUGUGUCUGGCAAAUAGUAAGUAUUUAAUAAGUGCUCCAUGAACUGAAUUACAUGCAUUCCUGUUUAGACUCUCUACCUGGAAUUUGAGAAGUCCUUCAUCUUCAUGAUUCUGCAUUUCCCUGUUAUGUUUAUUCAGUACAAUAAAUUCCCAAACAAUAGUUUACUUUUCUUUGCCUUGAACCACUGGCUUAAUCAUUUUCACCUGAAGUCAGUAGCAUACCUAUGACUUCUAAAUCACCACAUCAUGGAUCUAGAAGUAUAAGGAGUUUUGAAGACUGACUAGCCCAGACUCCUCAUUUUAUAGGUAGGAGAACUGGGUUUCCAAGAAGAUUAAGUGACUGGUAGUAUGAAUCAAAGAGAGGAUUUGAAUCCAGGUUCUCUGACAUCAGAGUCAGUGGUCUUUAAGCUGUAUCACACCACUCCUUUUUAUAGCCAGUAAAAAUAUUAAAAACAAAUUCAGGGACAGCUAGAUAGAGUGCCACUCCUGGAGUUAGGAGUAUCCUUACUCAGACACUUCCUGUGUGACCUUGGGCAAGUCACUUCUCCCAAUUGCCUCACCUUUGGGAAUUAUUACUAAAACAGAAAGUAAAGGUUUUUUUAAAAAAUGGGAUAACGAGAAUAAUAGGGGUAAAGGAAAUGUUGGAGAGAAGAUGGGAUGGUCAACUGAUAAGGACAAGA